UAAGAAUCAGCAACCUUCUCCACAAAUAUCAAUUGCAGUAAAUUCAGUGCUUGUUCGAUUAUUGAAAUUUCGCAAUGUAAGUGUCUAAUCGGUUUUUAUCAUAAACUCGCCACUUCAGUAGAAGUUGACACAAAUAAGAUCUAAGAAAAGAAUUACGUCCGACUCCUCUUCUAAAUUGUAUAGUUACAAUCCAAGCCCUUUUUCGAAAUCUCUCUUACACCUCUUUUAUUAUCUUUCUGAAAAAGUUCUCACUUUUUUUGUGCACUGGCGCACAAGAUAUACCAAUAACCCACGGCCAUACAC
rnacentral:lncRNA from 1 species